CACAUUAUGAUGGAUUUUGUGGAGUUGUCUCCAUCACAAGGUUGCAGCCGCCCUCCCAAAACCAGCUGAAGGCCCACUCCACAAGCUGAAACCUGGUGACUUUGUGAUGGUGAAAGACUUCAGAA